AGUGAACGCUGGCGGUAGGCCUAACACAUGCAAGUCGAACGGAGUGGCGGACGGGUGAGGAAUACAUCGGAAUCUACUCUGUCGUGGGGGAUAACGUAGGGAAACUUACGCUAAUACCGCAUACUAUCAGAUGAGCCUAGGUCGGAUUAGCUAGUUGGUGGGGUAAAGGCCUACCAAGGCGACGAUCCGUAACUGGUCUGAGAGGAUGAUCAGUCACACUGGAACUGAGACACGGUCCAGACUCCUACGGGAGGCAGCAGUGGGGAAUAUUGGACAAUGGGCGAAAGCCUGAUCCAGCCAUGCCGCGUGUGUGAAGAAGGUCUUCGGAUUGUAAAGCACUUUAAGUUGGGAGGCGUUACCAACAGAAUAAGCACCGGCUAACUUCGUGCCAGCAGCCGCGGUAAUUC
rnacentral:rRNA from 1 species